rnacentral:lncRNA from 1 species
AUUUAUUUAUUGAGACAGAGUCUUGCUCUGUUGCCCAGGCUGGAGUGCAGUGGCGGGAUCUCGGCUCACUGCAAGCUCCGCCUCCCGGGUUCACGCCAUUCUCCUGCCUCAGCCUCCCAAGUAGCUGGGACUACAGGCGCCUGCCACCACGCCCGGCUAAUUUUUUUCUUGUAUUUUUAGUAGAGAUGUGGUUUCACUGUGUUAGCCAGGAUGGUCUCGCUCUCCUGACCUUGUGAUCCACCUACAUCGGCCUCCCAAAUGCUGUUAUGAGGCCAGAGGAGACCAGAUAAGACCUCCCUGUUAUCAACUUUCAGUAGGAAUGGUGUCCCCUGACCCUCCUUCUAUUCAGGGAGAAAAUUUUCCAUACUUAAUACUAAAUUAUCUAACAAGUUCUUAGGGAAAAGCUACUUUACCUCCAGAGUUGUUAAUGAUUUCCUAGCUAAAGAAGUAGCAGUGACUCAGGCUACAUCUAAUUAGCACCCCUGGACAAGGUGGCUACUGAAUGUAACUUUCAGACGCCUCCAGACACACCAAGCCCAGUGGUGGAGUGGAGAAGAGAGCCAAACCUACCCCAGCUCUCAAGGGAAAUGUCAUGUGAAACAUACACUGUUUUGUCCCCUACCAACUUAUAAACAUACACUGUUUUGUCCCCCACCAACUUAUCAAAAUAAUUAAGGGGGCUGAAAAGCAGAAAAGGGCAGUUACUUCAUGUUUCCAAAAGAAUUCACCUUAACUGGGCAAAACAGAAUAUAAGCAGCUGAAGGGGCAGAAACUGGUAAACCAGGCUUUCCUUCUUUCUAAUCCAAUCUCAACCACGAUUAUAAUUCUGGGUGUAAUUCAGGAUAGAAGCUCAGCAGAGCUGUAAAUCAAUUCUUCUUAGAUUUAAAGGUCAGCAUCAAAACAUUCCCUCCUAUUGCUGGCUGAGGUGAAAUGGACACUCCAUAUAUUUGCUGGCUGGCAUGAAAACUGGUACAACACUUUUGGAAAGCAUUUUGGCAAUAAGAUUCAAGAGCUUUUAAAAUCGUUUCUAUUCCUUCAGGGAUCUAAUACUAUUUCUGGAAAUCCAUCUUAAGGAAUUAGUCUGCAAUUAGGAGGGGAAAAAAACCUUUGGGUUCAUGAAAGCAUUAUUCAUUACACAAAAUCCCUGUAAACCACAUAAAUAGCCAUUUUAAAGGAAGUAAGUAAAUUACAGUGAAAUAUGCAACUAAUAAAAUUCUAAGUUUUUAAAAAACAUAGAAAAUGCAAAACAUAUCAAAUGAACAAGGCAAAAAAUGUAUCAAGUAUAAUCACACAUAUAUAAAUGCACAAAAAUAAAAGAAGAACAUUUUUUUAAAAGAUGGUGCA